GAUAAGGGGGGUUGUUCCUCAUCAGAGGAAACCUAGGAGAUAAGGGGGGGGUGUUCCUCAUCAUAGGAUACCUAGAGAUAACAUUGAGAGGUAUGGGGGGGUAGAGUGCAUAUGUCAUACAUUUUGGCAAAGCUUUCAUGUAUAGUACAAAUGUUUGUGUAUGUGAGGGAGAGUGUGUGUCUGAGAGAGAGAAUUAGUGUGUGUGUGUGUGUGUGUUGGGGGGAGGGUAACUCUUUGAAGGACUCAUUCUGUUUUAUUAAAGGAGAGGUUUCACCGUUCUACAUCCUGUUAAUCUAUUAAAGGAGAGGUUUCACCGUUCUACAUCCUGUUAAUCUAUUAAAGGAGAGGUUUCACCGUUCUACAUCCUGUUAAUCUAUUAAAGGAGAGGUUUCACCGUUCUACAUCCUGUUAAUCUAUUAAAGGAGAGGUUUCAGAGACCUGUUAUUACCGUUCUACAUCCUGUCAAUCUAUUAAAGGAGAGGUUUCAGAGGCCUGUUA